rnacentral:tRNA from 1 species
GUCUCCGUAGCUCAAUCGGAACCAGAGCACCGGGCUUCUACCCCGGGGGUUGCAGGUUCGAGUCCUGCCGGGGACGCCA